rnacentral:rRNA from 1 species
AUUGUGGCCCCAAGUCAGGCGAGGCCACCCGCCGAGUUUAAGCAUAUCAAUAAGCCGGGAGGAA